GCACUCGCUUCGGCGGUACAGAUAAUAAAAUUGGAAAGAUACAGAGAAGAUUAGCAUGGCUCCUGCGUGGGGAUGACACGCAAAAUCGUGAAGCGCUCCAUAUUUUU
rfam:Schistocephalus solidus strain NST_G2 genome assembly, scaffold: SSLN_scaffold0006050